rnacentral:lncRNA from 1 species
CCAGCCCCACCCCCCAAGGCUAUAGCCCACCCGUUUUUGUGGCCUUUUACCGCUGACGAACUUGGCGCCCCGGCCUUCGGGUGGUUAUUUUUAGGUGCGGCUUUGCCCGUGGAUUAUUUAUGGCACAUGGAGAUCCCUCGCAAAGUCUCGCGGCAUUCCGAGUCCGGCGGACGAAGAUGACCAGCCCCACCCCCCAAGGCUAUCGCCCACCCGUUUUUGUGGCCUUUUUCCGCCGGACGAACUUGGCGCCCCGGCCUUCGGGCGGUUAUUUUUGGGCGCGGCUUUGCCCGCGGCCUAUUUUUGGCACACAUAUGCCCCAUACAAAGUCACGCGGCAUUCUGAGUCCGGCGGACGAAGUUGACCAGCCCCACCCCCCAAGGCUACAGCCCACUCGUUUUUGUGGCCUUUUACCGCUGGACGACCGUGACGCCCCGGCCUUCGGGCGGUUAUUUUUGGGCGCGGUUUGCCCGCGGCCUAUUUUUGGCACACGGAGGCCCGUCGCAAAGUCUCGCGGCAUUCUGAGUCCGGCGGACGAAGUCGGCCAGCCCCACCCCCCAAGGCUAUAGCCCACCCGUUUUUGUGGCCUUUUUCCGCUGGACGAACAUGGCGACCUGGCCUUCGGACGGUUAUUUUUGGGUGCGGCUUCAUCCGCGGCCUAUUUUUGGGACACGGAGGCUCCUCGCCAAGUCUCGCGGCCUUCCGAGUCCGGCGGACGANNNNNNNNNNNNNNNNNNNNNNNNNNNNNNNNNNNNNNNNNNNNNNNNNNNNNNNNNNNNNNNNNNNNNNNNNNNNNNNNNNNNNNNNNNNNNNNNNNNNCCCCCCAAGGCUAUAGCCCACCCGUUUUUGUGGCCUUUUUCCGCUGGACGAACUUGACGCCCCGGCCUUCGGGCGGUAAUUUUUGGGCGCGGUUUGCCCGCGGCCUAUUUUUGGCACACGGAGGCCCCUCGCAAAGUCUCACGGCCUGCCGAGUCCGGCGGACGAAGUGGGCCAGCCCCACCCCCCAAGGCUAUAGCCCACCCGUUUUUGUGGCCUUUUUCCGCUGGACGAAAUUGCCGCCCCGGCCUUCGGGCGGUUAUUUCUGGGCAUAGCUAUGUCCGCGGCCUAUUUUUAGCAUACGGAGGCCCCUCGCAAAGUCUCGCGGCAUUCCGAGUCCGGCGGACGAAGUUGGCCAGGCCCACCCCCCAAGGCUAUAGCGCACCCGUUUUUGUGGCCUUUUUCCGCUAGACGAACUUCGCGCCCCGGCCUUCGGGCGGUUAUUUUUCUGCGCGGCUUUGCCCGCGGCCUAUUUUUGGCACACGGAGGCCCCUCGCAAAGUCUCGCGGCAUUCCGUGUCCGGCGGACGAAGUUGGCCAGCCCCACCCCCCAAGGCUACAGCCCACUCGUUUUUGUGGCCUUUUACCGCUGGACGACCUUGACGCCCCGGCUUUCGGGCGGUUAUUUUUGGGCGCGGUUUGCCCGCGGCCUAUUUUUGGCACACGGAGGCCCCUCGCAAAGUCUCGCGGCAUGCCGAGUCCGGCGGACGAAGUGGGCCAGCCCCACCCCCCAAGGCUAUAGCCCACCCGUUUUUGUGGCCUUUUACCGCUGGACGAACUUGGCGCCCCGGCCUUCGGGUGGUUAUUUUUAGGCGCGGUUUUGCCCGCGGAUUAUUUAUGGCACACGGAGAUCCGUCGCAAAGUCUCACGGCAUUCCGAGUCCGGUGGACGAAGAUGGCCAGCCCCACCCCCCAAGGCUAUAGCCCACCCGUUUUUGUGGCCUUUUUCCGCCGGACGAACUUGGCGCCCCGGCCUUCGGGCGGUUAUUUUUGGGCGCGCCUUUGCCCGCGGCCUAUUUUUGGAACACGGAGGCCCGUCGCAAAGUCUCACGGCAUUCUGAGUCCGGCGGACGAAGUCGGCCAGCCCCACCCCCCAAGGCUAUAGCCCACCCGUUUAUGUGGCCUUUUUCCGCUGGACGAACAUGGCGACCCGGCCUUCAUGCGGUUAUUUUUGGGUACGGCUUCGUCCGCGGCCUAUUUUUGGGACACGGAGGCCCCUCGCAAAGUCUCGCGGCAUUCCGAGUCCGGCAGACGAAGUUGGCCAGCCCCACCCCCCAAGGCUAUAGCCCACCCGUUUUUGUGGCCUUUUUCCGCUGGACGAACUUGACGCCCCGGCCUUCGGCGGUUAUUUUUGGGCGCGGUUUGCCCGCGGCCUAUUUUUGGCACAUGGAGGCCCUUCGUAAACUCUCGCGGCAUGCGGAGUCCGGCGGACGAAGUGGGCCAGCCCCACCCCCCAAGGCUAUAGCCCACCCGUUUUUGUGGCCGUUUUCCGCCGGACGAACUUGGCGCCCCGGCCUUCGGGCGGUUAUUUUUGGGCGCGCCUUUGCCCGCGGCCUAUUUUUGGCACACGGAGGCCCGUCGCAAAGUCUCGCGGCAUUCUGAGUCCGGCGGACGAAAUCGGCCAGCCCCACCCCCCAAGUCUAUAGCCCACCCGUUUUUGUGGCCUUUUUCCGCUGGACGAACUUGGCGCCCCGGCCUUCGGGCGGUUAUUUUUGGGCGCGGUUUUGGACGCGGCCUAUUUUUGGCACACGGAGGCCCGUCGCAAAGUCUCGCGGCAUUCUGAGUCCGGCGGACGAAGUCGGCCAGCCCCACCCCCCAAGGCUAUAGCCCUCCCGUUUUUGUGGCCUUUUUCCGCUGGACGAACAUGGCGACCCGGCCUUCAGGCGCCUAUUUUUGGGUAUGGCUUCUCCCGCGGCCUAUUUUUGGGACACGGAGGCCCCUCGCAAUGUCUCGCGGCAUUCCGAGUCCGGCGGACGAAGUUGGCCAGCCCCACCCCCCAAGGCUAUAGCCCACCCGUUUUUGUGGCCUUUUUCCGCUGGACGAACUUGACGCCCCGGCCUUCGGGCGGUUAUUUUUGGUCGCGGUUAGCCCGCGGCCUAUUUUUGGCACACCGAGGCCCUUCGCAAAGUCUAGCGGCAUGCCGAGUCCGGCGGACGAAGUGGGCCAGCCCCACCCCCCAAGGCUAUAGCCCACCCGUUUUCGUGGCCUUUUACCGCUGGACGAACUUGGCGCCGCGGCCUUCGGUUGGUUAUUUUUAGGCACGGCUUUGCCCGCGGAUUAUUUAUGGCACACGGAGAUCCCUCGCAAAGUCUCGCGGCAUUCCGAGUCCGGCGGUUGAAGUCGGCCAGCCCCACCCCCCAAGGCUAUAGCCCACCCGUUUUUGUGGCCUUUUUCCGCCGGACGAACUUGGCGCCCCGGCCUUCGGGCGGUUAUUUUUGGGCGCGGCUUUACCCGCGGCCGAUUUUUGGCACACGGAGGCCCCUCGCAAGUUCUUACGGCUUUCCGAGUCCGGCUGAUGAAGUUGGCCAGCCCCACACCCCAAGGCUAUAGCCCACCCGUUUUUGUGGCCUUUUUCCGCUGGACGAACUUGGCGCCCCGAACUUCGGGCGGUUAUUUUUGGGCGCGGCUUUGCCCGUGGCCUAUUUUUGGCACACGGAGUGCCCUCGCAAAGUCUCGCCGUAUUCCGAGUCCGGCGGACGAAGUUGGCCAGCCCCACCCCCCAAGGCUAUAGCCCACCCGUUUUUGUGGCCUUUUUCCGCUGGACGAACUUCGCGCCCCGGCCUUCGGGCGGUUAUUUUUGGGCGCGCCUUUGCCCGCGGCCUAUUUUUGGCACACGGAGGCCCGUCGCAAAGUCUCGCGGCAUUCUGAGUCCGGCGGACGAAAUCGGCCAGCCCCACCCCCCAAGGCUAUAGCCCACCCGUUUUUGUGGCCUUUUUCCGCUGGACGAACAUGGCGACCCGGCCUUCAGGCGCGUAUUUUUGGGUACGGCUUCUCCCGCGGCCUAUUUUGGGACACGGAGGCCCCUCGCAAUGUCUCGCGGCAUUCCGAGUCCGGCGGACGAAGUUGGCCAGCCCCACCCCCCAAGGCUAUAGCCCACCCGUUUUUGUGGCCUUUUUCCGCUGGACGAACUUGACGCCCCGGCCUUCGGGCGGUUAUUUUUGGGCGCGGUUAGCCCGCGGCCUAUUUUUGGCACACCGAGGCCCUUCGCAAAGUCUAGCGGCAUGCCGAGUCCGGCGGACGAAGUGGGCCAGCCCCACCCCCCAGGCUAUAGCCCACCCGUUUUCGUGGCCUUUUACCGCUGGACGAACUUGGCGCCGCGGCCUUCGGUUGGUUAUUUUUAGGCACGGCUUUGCCCGCGGAUUAUUUAUGGCACACGGAGAUCCCUCGCAAAGUCUCGCGGCAUUCCGAGUCCGGCGGACGAAGUCGGCCAGCCCCACCCCCAAGGCUAUAGCCCACCCGUUUUUGUGGCCUUUUUCCGCCGGACGAACUUGGCGCCCCGAACGUCGGGCGGUUAUUUUUGGGCACGGCUUUGCCCGUGGCCUAUUUUUGGCACACGGAGGGCCCUCGCAAAGUCUCGCCGUAUUCCGAGUCCGGCGGACGAAGUUGGCCAGCCCCACCCCCCAAGGCUAUAGCCCACCCGUUUUUGUGGCCUUUUUCCGCUGGACGAACUUCGCGCCCCGGCCUUCGGGCGGUUAUUUUUGGGCGCUGCUUUGUCCACGGCCUAUUUUUGGCACACGGAGGUCCCUCGCAAAGUCUCGCGGCAUUCCGUGUCUGGCGGACGAAGUGGGCCAGCUCCACCCCCCAAGGCUAUAGCCCACCCGUGUUUGUGGCCUUUUUCCGCAGGACGAACUUGGCGCCCCAGCCUUCGGGUGGUUAUUUUUCUGCGCGGCUUUGCCCGCGGCCUAUUUUUGGAACACGGAGGCCCCUCGCAAAGUCUUGCGGCAUUCCGUGUCCGGCGGACGAAGUUGGCCAGCCCCACCCCCCAAGGCUAUAGCCCACCCGUUUUUGUGGCCUUUUCCGCUGGACGAACUUGGCGUCCCGGCCUUCCAGCGGUUAUUUUUGGGCGCGGCUUUGCCCGCGGCCUACUUUUGGCACACGUAGGCCCCUCGCAAGGUCUUGCCGCUUUCCGAGUCCGGCUGAUGAAGUUGGCCAGCCCCACACCCCAAGGCUAUAGCCCACCCGUUUUUGUGGCCUUUUUCCGCUGGACGAACUUGGGGCCCUGGACUUUGGGCGUUUAUUUUUGGGCGCGGCUUUGCCCAUGGAGUAUUUUUGGUACACGGAGGCCCCUCGCAAAGUCUCGCCGUAUUCCGAGUCCGGCGGACGAAGUUGGCCAGCCCCACCCCCCAAGGCUAUAGCCCACCCGUUUUUGUGGCCUUUUUCCGCCGGACGAACUUGGCGCCCCGGCCUUCGGGCGGUUAUUUUUGGGCGCGCCUUUGCCCACGGCCUUUUUU